UAUCCGUCCCCUCGCGACGCUAGGUCGGGAACCCCGCCAGGUCCGGAAGGAAGCAACGGUACCGACUGAUGUGUGCGCCGAGGUAAGGCGGGUAGGG
rnacentral:SRP_RNA from 2 species